rnacentral:rRNA from 1 species
AACGAACGCUGGCGGCAUGCCUAACACAUGCAAGUCGAACGGGAUCCUAGCUUGCUAGGUGAGAGUGGCGGACGGGUGAGUAACACGUGGGAAUCUGCCUUUUGGUUCGGGAUAACCGCGGGAAACUGCGGCUAAUACCGAAUGCCCUCGAGAGAGGAAAGAUUUAUCGCCAGAAGAGGAGCCCGCGUCCGAUUAGGUAGUUGGUGGGGUAAAGGCCUACCAAGCCGACGAUCGGUAGCUGGUCUGAGAGGAUGAUCAGCCACACUGGGACUGAGAUACGGCCCAGACUCCUACGGGAGGCAGCAGUGGGGAAUAUUGGACAAUGGGGCGAACCCUGAUCCAGCAAUGCCGCGUGAGUGAUGAAGGCCUUAGGGUUGUAAGACUCUUUUGUCCAGGGAAGAUGAUGACUGUACCUGGAGAAUAAGACCCCGGCGUAACUCCGUGCCAGCAGCCGCGGUAA